rnacentral:rRNA from 1 species
AGCGAACGUUAGCGGCGGGCCUAACACAUGCAAGUCGAACGCGAAAGGUCUUCGGACUGAGUAGAGUGGCGCACGGGUGAGUAACACGUAGGUAAUCUACCCUUUGGCGGGGGAUAACGUUCCGAAAGGAGCGCUAAUACCGCAUAAGACCACGGAGUCUCCGGACGCUGUGGGAAAAGGUGGCCUCUUCUUGAAAGCUACCACCGAAGGAUGAGCCUGCGUCCCAUCAGCUAGUUGGUAAGGUAAUGGCUUACCAAGGCGAAGACGGGUAGCUGGUUUGAGAGAAUGAUCAGCCACACUGGCACUGGAACACGGGCCAGACUCCUACGGGAGGCAGCAGUGAGGAAUAUUGGGCAAUGGGCGAAAGCCUGACCCAGCCACGCCGCGUGAGUGAUGAAGGCCCUCGGGUCGUAAAGCUCUGUGGAGAGGGACGAAAACCCUAGGUUUCAAAUAGGCUCCAGGCUUGACGGUACCUCUUUAGCAAGCACCGGCUAACUCUGUGCCAGCAGCC